rnacentral:ncRNA from 1 species
CGAAAGUUUGACUCUGGCUAUUUGUUUUCUUUAUAAUGACAGUGCAUGUAAAAUUAAAUGCGACAAAAUUUGAUUUAUUACUAAAUGAAAUAAAAUUAAAGACAGUAAAUUAAAAUUAUAACUGUUAAAUUCUCAGCACACAAUAUUAGGUUAUUAGUUAAAGCUAGAACUAGUAAAUUAUAUAAAAUCUGGCUAAAAUUGUGCCAGCCGCCGCGGUUAUACUGUGAGGUUAAGUAAACAAAAUUUGGUUAAAAUAAGUUAUUAUGAUAUUGUAUUAAACAAAAAUAAGACAUUAAGUAUAAGUGAAAUAAACAUUUAAAUUAUUAUUUUUAUGAAAUAUUAAUAAAUAAGAGGCUUAAAAAUUUAAGAUAUAAACCAGGAUUAGAUACCCUGUUAUACUUAAAUUAAAAUAAAAUUACCUGGGUAGUAUUCAGUUAUGUUCUUGAAACCCAAAGAGUUUGGCGGUAUCUCAGCCUAGUUAGAGGAGCUUGUUCCAUAAUCGAUAAUCCGCGAAAUAUCUUACAUACUCUUGUAACCAGUCUAUAUACCGUCGUUGUCAGAUAAUACUAAAAGGUUAAUAAUUAUCUAAAUAUAAUUAAAUAUAAUAUAUCAGAUCAAGGUGUAACUUAUGAGUGUGAGCUGAAUGAGCUACAAUUUAUAAUAAUAUAAAAUACGGAAAUUAAUUUUAAAAAGAGUUAAUAAAAGGUGGAUUUAAUAGUAAUUAAAUUUUUAGUAAGUUGUAAUGAUAUAAGCUCUGAGAUAUGUACACAUCGCCCGUCGCUCUCACUACAAAGUGAGAUAAGUCGUAACAUAGUAGGAGUACUGGAAAGUGUUCCUAGAAUG